rnacentral:rRNA from 1 species
AGUAACGCGUGAGCAACCUGCCUAUGACAUUGGGAUAGCCUCGGGAAACCGGGAUUAAUACCGCAUAAAAUCGUAGAAACACAUGUUUUAGCGGUCAAAGAUUUAUCGGUCAUAGAUGGGCUCGCGUCUGAUUAGCUAGUUGGUGAGAUAACAGCCCACCAAGGCGACGAUCAGUAGCCGGUCUGAGAGGAUGAACGGCCACAUUGGAACUGAGACACGGUCCAA